rnacentral:ncRNA from 1 species
GUACGCAAUAAUGCGUCUUAUGCAGCAACCACUGCGUAGCGGCUAGAACCCGCAUUGGGCUUCUAUUAAGGAGAAAUCAAAUG